UCCUUCCUUGCUGUCAUAUGGGCCCUACUGCCACAUCAUCGUCAUCAAUCUUCAGCCACGAACGGACACAACUAUGACGGCCUACGUUUUCAGUUUCUGUGUGUUUACUCGUCAAUUGAUUCCGGGCGUUUUAAGCCACCAUUUAACGAGCCGUUUGUUCCUACUUAAGCUCCACAUCCUCCUCUUCAUUUUCCCCCAAAACGCCACAUCCCGAGAGCCCCCAGGCUGCUCGAAUUUGUCCUCACAUGUCCGCAGUACCGUCGCGGUAAAUCGUCGAUUGCGCGACGGCGCCAUCUUCGUUUGUGAGCACGUCCGCGGGACAAUUUUCCGGCGAGCGAUUUCCGGCGAACUACUGUACCUCGACGUGCGCGACUUCGCCAUCGAGUUCCCCUUGCGAAGACGAGCUCCGUUGUCUGCUACGCCAUCGCCAACAAGCACGGGAACAUCAACCGCAGCGACCACGACCAUAUGUUCCAGUGACCUGUGUUUUCCCUACAUUGUGAUUGUGUUGAUUGCAACGAGUGUUUCUGCGAAGAGUGUAC